rnacentral:sRNA from 1 species
AUCCAAAGCGUGGUGUUAGCUCCCGAUC